rnacentral:rRNA from 1 species
UACGGGGGGGGCAAGCGUUGUUCGGAAUUACUGGGCGUAAAGGGCGUGUAGGUGGCCAACUAAGUCCGACGUGAAAUCCCCAGGCUUAACCUGGGAACUGCGUCGGAUACUGGAUGGCUUGAAUUCGGGAGAGGAAUGCAGAAUUCCAGGUGUAGCGGUGAAAUGCGUAGAUAUCUGGAGGAAUACCGGUGGCGAAGGCGGCAUUCUGGACCGACAUUGACACUGAAGCGCGAAAGCCAGGGGAGCAAACGGG